rnacentral:rRNA from 1 species
UACGGGGGGAGCAAACGUUGUUCGGAAUCACUGGGCGUAAAGGGCGUGUAGGCGGCUGGAUAAGUGGGAUGUUAAAUCCCCCGGCUCAACCGGGGACCUGCAUCUCGAUACUGUUCAGCUCGAGCACAUCAGAGGAGACUGGAAUUCCCCGGUGUAGCGGUGAAAUGCGUAGAUAUCGUAAGGAAGACCAGUGGCGAAGGCGGGUCUCUGGACGAGUUCCUGACGCUGGAGGCACGAAGGCCAGGGGAGCAAACGGG